UGGGGAAUUUUGGACAAUGGGGGCAACCCUGAUCCAGCAAUGCCGCGUGUGUGAAGAAGGCCUUCGGGUUGUAAAGCACUUUUGUCCGGGAAGAAAUCGCACCUGAUAAUACCGGGUGUGGAUGACGGUACCGGAAGAAUAAGGAGCGGCUAACUACGUGCCAGCAGCCGCGGUAAUACGUAGGGUCCAAGCGUUAAUCGGAAUUACUGGGCGUAAAGCGUGCGCAGGCGGUUGUGCAAGACCGAUGUGAAAUCCCCGGGCUUAACCUGGGAAUUGCAAUGGUGACUGGACGGCUAGAGUGUGUCAGAGGGGGGUAGAAUUCCACGUGUAGAAGUGAAAUGCGUAGAGAUGUGGAGGAAUACCGAUGGCGAAGGCAGCACCCUGGGAUAACACUGACGCUCAUGCACGAAAGCGUGGGGAGCAAACAGG
rnacentral:rRNA from 1 species